rnacentral:rRNA from 1 species
AGGCGACGACGGGUAGCCGACCUGAGAGGGUGAUCGGCCACACUGGGACUGAGACACGGCCCAGACUCCUACGGGAGGCAGCAGUGGGGAAUAUUGCACAAUGGGCGCAAGCCUGAUGCAGCGACGCCGCGUGAGGGAUGACGGCCUUCGGGUUGUAAACCUCUUUCACCAGGGACGAAGCGCAAGUGACGGUACCUGGAGAAGAAGCACCGGCCAACUACGUGCCAGCAGCCGCGGUAAUACGUAGGGUGCGAGCGUUGUCCGGAAUUACUGGGCGUAAAGAGCUCGUAGGCGGUUUGUCGCGUCGUCUGUGAAAUUCUGCAGCUUAACUGCAGGCGUGCAGGCGAUACGGGCAGACUUGAGUACUACAGGGGAGACUGGAAUUCCUGGUGUAGCGGUGAAAUGCGCAGAUAUCAGGAGGAACACCGGUGGCGAAGGCGGGUCUCUGGGUAGUAACUGACGCUGAGGAGCGAAAGCGUGGGUAGCGAACAGGAUUAGAUACCCUGGUAGUCCACGCCGUAAACGGUGGGUACUAGGUGUGGGGCUCAUUUCACGAGUUCCGUGCCGUAGCUAACGCAUUAAGUACCCCGCCUGGGGAGUACGG